rnacentral:rRNA from 1 species
AUGACCAUUCCACCUGGGCAGCAAGAUCCAUAUAGAAACAGAAAGCAAGGCCUUUCACAAAGUUGCAUGGUCGCAUGUGACUUUGAUCUAGAGUUCGUGCAUGUACAUCCUGGUUGGGAAGGGUCUGCUUCAGAUGCAAGAGUUCUACAAGACGCACUUAAGUAUGGUUUUAGUGUACCCCCAGGUAAAUUCCAUCUUGUAGAUGCAGGCUAUGCAAACACACCACAAUUCAUUGCUCCAUACAAGGGAACAAGGUAUCAUUUGCAAGAACAAGGAAGAGUCCAACAGAGGCCACAAUCCACUAAAGAAUUGUUCAAUCUCCGCCAUGCUCAACUUCGGAAUCAUGUUGAGAGAAUUAUCGAUAUAUUAAAAAAGAGGUAUCCCAUACUGAAGGCUGCUACGUCAUAUGAUAUUGACACUCAGGUUGAUAUUUCAAUGGCUUGUUGUGUGAUGCACAAUUUCAUACAGCUACAUGAUGGUGACAUGUCAUUGUCGGACAGAUGUAUGGAAGAUAUAAAUGAAAGCAAUAUGGAAGAUGUACCAGAUGGAGAUACCAAAUACAAUGUUGAUGUGCCAUUAUUUGACAGCAUGCAGCAAGCUGGGAAUGACAUGUGA